rnacentral:rRNA from 1 species
UUAAGAAUCUUGCGCAAUGGGCGCAAGCCUGACGCAGCGACGCCGCGUGCGUAAUGAAGGCCUUCGGGUUGUAAAGCGCAAUAGACAGGGAAGAAGAAAGUGACGGUACCUGUUGAAAGCACCGGCUAACUACGUGCCAGCAGCCGCGGUAAUACGUAUGGUGCAAGCGUUGUUCGGAUUUACUGGGCGUAAAGAGUGCGCGGGCGGAUAAUUAAGUCAGGUGUGAAAUCUUCGGGCUCAACCCGAAGUCUGCACUUGAAACUAAUGAUCUGGAGUCUCGGAGAGGCAGGCAGAAUUCCUGGUGUAGCGGUGAAAUGCGUAGAUAUCAGGAGGAAUACCAAUGGCGAAGGCAGCCUGCUGGACGAUGACUGACGCUGAGGCACGAAAGCGUGGGGAGCAAACAGGAUUAGAUACCCCCGUAGUCC